rnacentral:rRNA from 1 species
GAUGAACGCUGACAGAAUGCUUAACACAUGCAAGUCAUUGGCGAAGCUGCGCUUUCGCAGUCUAGCCAAGGCGGACGGGUGAGUAACGCGUAAGGAACUUGCCCUGCAGACAGGGAUAACAGACGUAAACGACUGAUAACACCUGGCAUUUUCAGGCUGGCGCAUGCCGGCCUGAUGAAAGGAGACGCUGCAGGAGAGCCUUGCGUCCUAUUAGCUAGUUGGUGGGGUAACGGCCCACCAAGGCGAUGAUAGGUAGCCGGCCUGAGAGGGUGAACGGCCACAAGGGGACUGAGAUACGGCCGUUACUCCUACGGGAGGCAGCAGUGGGGAAUAUUGGACAAUGGGGGCAACCCUGAUCCAGCAAUUCUGUGUGCACGAAGAAGGUUUUCGGAGUGUAAAGUGCUUUCAGCAGGGAAGAAGAAAGUGACGGUACCUGCAGAAGAAGCGACGGCUAAAUACGUG